rnacentral:lncRNA from 1 species
UUCUCUGGCUGAAUCUAUUCUUUUUUUGAUUCUCUGGCUGAAUCUAUUUUCGGUCUUCGGGCUAGACCUGACUUUGAUCUUCUGGCUAGAUCUACUUUGUUUUGAUGGUAAAUUCCCAUCAUCAGGAUCUCGCAUCUGAGGUAUGCGCUGGUUGACCCUCUUUCGAAACCUAUACCCAGUCUUCAUGUUAGAUAUGCAGCUUCGAGAAUAUUCC